rnacentral:rRNA from 1 species
CCUACGAGUGGCUGCAGUGAGGAAUAUUGGUCAAUGGACGAGAGUCUGAACCAGCCAAGUAGCGUGAAGGAUGACUGCCCUAUGGGUUGUAAACUGCUUUUAUAUGGGAAUAAAAUGUUCCACGUGUGGGAGUUUGUAUGUACCAUAUGAAUAAGGAUCGGCUAACUCCGUGCCAGCAGCCGCGGUAAUACGGAGGAUCCGAGCGUUAUCCGGAUUUAUUGGGUUUAAAGGGUGCGUAGGUGGAUUGUUAAGUAAGUUGUGAAAGUUUGCGGCUCAACCGUCAAAUUGCAGUUGAAACUGGCAGUCGUGAGUAUAGUAGUGGUGGGCGGAAUUCGUGGUGUAGCGGUGAAAUGCUUAGAUAUCACGAAGAACUCCGAUUGCGAAGGCAGCUCACUGGCCUGCAACUGACACUGAGGCUCGAAAGUGUGGGUAUCAAACAGGAUUAGAUACCCUUGUAGUC